rnacentral:rRNA from 1 species
GUGUCAGCAGCCGCGGUAAUACGUAGGUGGCAAGCGUUGUCCGGAUUUAUUGGGCGUAAAGCGAGCGCAGGUGGUUUCUUAAGUCUGAUGUGAAAGCCCACGGCUCAACCGUGGAAGGUCAUUGGAAACUGGGGAACUUGAAUGCAGAAGAGGAGAGUGGAAUUCCAUGUGUAGCGGUGAAAUGCGUAGAUAUAUGGAGGAACACCAGUGGCGAAGGCGACUCUCUGGUCCGUUAUUGACACUGAGGCUCGAAAGCGUGGGGAGCAAACAGGAUUAGAAACC